UUACAUAAUUUUUAAGUUGUUGGAUUUAAAUUGAUAGGGUAGGCAUUUUGGUAUAAUUUACUGGCAUUCUUUAGUAAAACUAGGGCCAGUGUUUUUAUAAUGUAGGAAAGAUAAAGAAAGAAGAAAUUAUGCAUAAUACAUGCUGUAUGCACAUGAAACAUACAUCUUGAUACAAUUUACUCUCAGAGUAAGCGUUUGGAUCUCAGAGUCUGAGCCUGAGUUUGUUGGGCAUGUGGAAAAGGCACGAUGGCUCUGCUUUUCUUGGCUUUCUUUCAUAGGACUGCUUCCAGCUGCUGCUCAUUUGAUGUGACACCUUGUCAUUUAGUGUUACUGGCUUCCAGAAGUGCUCUUCAGCAUCACGUUCAAGUCCGUUUCUUUAAGAAGUUGAUGAGGCUGAAGUGGAGAAGAGCUGAGGAGCAAGGUGGAUCAGAUGGUGGACAGUCUAUGACCAGAUGAACUCCUUUUCCGAGUACUAGAAUUACAGUUUGGUUUCAUUGCUAUUCGAUGAUAAGAACUGACCUACCUAGCUCCUGGCUCAAUGGACACCACCCACACCUAAGAAGUAUCAGGUGGAGUAGGCCCUGGGGACCUGUGUGUAACUUAUGUUUCAGAUUUCAAUCUGUGACACUGAGCCUGUGGACCCACGAACAACUUCAACACCUUUGGUCCGCUCUCAUAUUACAAUAUAGGUGUUGCGGCCUUUCUUACCUUUCUUGCCUGCAUCAGGUUCUUUCCUUUCUUUCUUUUUAAUUGUUUAAACUUUAGUCUUCUCUCAUAUAGUGCGUCCUGGCUGCAAUUUCCCCACCCCAUAGUCUCUCCUUCACCUCCUUCUUCUCCCUGAAUUCACCUCCCCCCUCCCCCCCUUCAGAAAAGAGCAAGAUUUCUAGGGCAUCAACCAAAUACAGCAUAACAAACUACAAUAAGACCAGGCACAUAUUCUCACAUCAGAGAUGGAGGAAGCAACCCAGUAGGAGGAAAAGGGUCCUGAAGGCAGAAACAGGAGUCAGAGAUACCCCAUUCCUACUGUUAGAAAUUCUAUUAAGAACACAAAGCUAUACAACCUUAACAUUUAUGCAGAGGACUUAUGUCAGACCCAUAUAGGAUUCCUGAUUUUGUGAGCCCACUUGAGUCCUGGAAGUUGAUUCUAUGGGCCUUGUUCUUGUAGUGUCUUUGAUCCCUCUGGUUCCUACAAACCUUCUUCCCUCUCUUCCACAGGACUCCCCAAACUCUGCCUCAUAUUUAGCUGUGAGACUCUGUAUUUGCUCCCAUCAGUUGUUGGAUAAAGUCUCUCUGGACAAUGUGAUGAUGACUUUGUUAGGCUCCAGUUCCAGAACAACAUGCAGGCAGGACAAAUUGUAGGUCGGAGAUUUUAUGGCUGUUUUGUAUCCUAAUUCCUCUACCUGAGGCCUUGCCUGGUUAUAGAUGAUGGCCAGUUCAGGCUCUGGGCCCUCCCAUUACUGAAGUUUUCACUGGUGUCGACGUCAUAAAUUCCAUGGAGUUUUUAUUGCAUUAUGUUUUUACCUCACUCUUAAAACACACCCCCAAAUUCCAGCCAUCUCUCCCAGUAUUUCCUCCCUGCACCCCUCAACCUGAUAACUCCUGCUCCCAUCCCUACCUCCUCCUAGUCCAUCCAUGACAUCUAUUCCAUUUUCCUGUCCCAGGUAGAUUCUUCUGUCCACACCACUUCACCACCCACUCCCUUGUUACUUUGCCCCUCUGGAUCUGUGGAUUAUAGAAUAAUUAUCUUUAGAGCUAAUAGUCUGGAUAAGAUUGUUACCUAUCACUUCUCAUGUAACUACAGGGCACAUGAAAAGAAGAGAGAGGAGGAGGUUUAGGUAGGGUGUGGGACAGACAUUGAAUGAUAUGUCAUUCUUUCAUAUCAUUCAGGGUAUCAGUAUGAUAGGAAUGAAGUGAUCUUAGAGAUUUUUUGGGGGUGGGGUUUAAAUGAAUAGAAUAAAGUACCACCUUGUAAACACCUCACUUUGUAUUUGGUGGGAUGGAAGGUAUUCCUGCUAAUCACAACCUCCUUCAAAGUUCAGUUCAGUUUUAUUAAAAUGUUUUUUAUGAGACUAGAACAAAGGAUUUUAGUCAGUGGAUUGGGAUUUUCAUGUGUUUUCUCUGCACAAUCACAGCCCU
rnacentral:lncRNA from 1 species